UACGUAGGGGGCGAGCGUUGUCCGGAUUUAUUGGGCGUAAAGAGCGUGUAGGCGGCCAGGUAGGUCCGUUGUGAAAACUCGAGGCUCAACCUCGAGACGUCGAUGGAAACCAUCUGGCUAGAGUCCGGAAGAGGAGAGUGGAAUUCCUGGUGUAGCGGUGAAAUGCGCAGAUAUCAGGAAGAACACCUGUGGCGAAGGCAGCUCUCUGGGACGGUACUGACGCUGAGACGCGAAAGCGUGGGGAGCGAACAGG
rnacentral:rRNA from 1 species